CGUGCAGUUGCGAUAGUGGUAAUCGGGCGGUCUUGGAAACCGUUGUGGGCAAUAAGAGAUUGUCUAUCGUGGGUUCGAUCCCCACCUGCGCGACCA
rnacentral:tRNA from 1 species